rnacentral:rRNA from 1 species
GCAAGUCGAACGAGACGAUUUCUUCGGAAAUUAUAAAGUGGCGAACGGGUACGUAACGCGUAUGCAACCUACAUAUUAGUGGAAGAUAACCGCGGGAAACUGCGAGUAAUACUCCAUGUUUUAUUUGGAUGGCAUCAUUUGAAUAACAAAGCGCCGGCUCUAAUAGAUGGGCAUGCGUUCCAUUAGCUAGUUGGUAAGGUAACGGCUUACCAAGGCUACGAUGGAUAGCUGGUCUGAGAGGAUGAUC